rnacentral:lncRNA from 1 species
GGCAUUUAAGUUGACUCCAAGCUUUUACUAUUACAAUCAUUGCCUAAAUAAAUAACUUGGUACAUAAAAGAUAAAUUAAUUAAAAUAAAAUAAGACAGUCUAGCUAUAUCAGGCAAACUUGAGCAAGAGUCCCUAAAAUUGGUUAUUUAUCUGAAUCAAACUGGCAUCUCCAUUAAUGGCCUAAAAUCCCCAAGCCCUAAUGUGUGGGCCUGUGGAACCCUCUAAUCUAUGUAAAUUAAACACCAAUUAGAACGGUCUAUUAAAGUUUCCAUAUAAAACGCCAGCUAAACUGUAUACAUUAGUGCGUGUUGAAAUCAGCCCUUGUAUAAAUUGUUUCUUAGCCAGUAGGAAUCACUGCAAUUGCUGUUUAUGAAAUUCCCUCUGGUUCUACUCAAGCAGCUCUUCUUGAUGUUGUAAAUGAGCUACCAAAGUCAAACAGUUCAGGUGGUGACAUGGCCAGUGGAAUCCGACAUCAGUAGCGGCAAGACCCAAGAUACCCAAGCAGCCAUUCGAAGCUUUGAGAUGAGUUGUUCUGAAGACUACAUUAAAUUCUUAGUUGUGUCUGCCUGAGACUCUCCAGAACCAAAACACAGGAGGACCUGAGCGAGCAGAGCAAAGCCACAGGCAAAUGACUCACUGGAAACCUUGAAUGUUUGCUAAGUAAGGUCUUCUGCAGCAUCUCACAUCAAAGAGCCCAGGCUCCUCCGCCCGCUGCCAGCCCGACUUAGCUUGGAGAACACUUAAGGCAUGUUGCUUCUGAUGUCUGCUAUUGGGAGACUCAUAAACCAGGUCUGGGGAGAUACUGUUUGGUGGUAGUGUUGUUUGCUUUUCACUUUUUAAGUUUUAUGUGUGUGUUUUUUGUCCGUUUGUUUAAUGAUUAUAAAAAUAAGUGCUCAAUAUUAAACAUUUGGAAAAUAUGGGACUUUUUUUUUCUACAGUAAGAGAAAAAUCACCCAUAAUCCCAUCCAGAAGCAACCUGUUAAAAUUUCUGUAAUUUCGUUUAGCCCACGGUUUCUCAACCUCAACACUGCUGACGUUUUGGACUGCUUAAUUCAUUGUUGUGUGUAUGUAGGGGCAGGCAGUAGGGGAUGCUUUUCUGUGUAUUGUAGGAUAUUGAGCAGCAUCCCUGGCCUCUACUCACUAGAUGCCAGUAGAAAUCCACCCUCACUCUCCAAUUGUGACAACUAAACUUGCCUCCAGACAUCGUUAACUGUCACUUGAGAGGCAAAAUUGCUCCAAUGGA